CCUACGGGAGGCAGCAGUGGGGAAUUUUGGACAAUGGGCGAAAGCCUGAUCCAGCCAUACCGCGUGCGGGAAGAAGGCCUUCGGGUUGUAAACCGCUUUUGUCAGGGAAGAAAUGCUUCGGGCUAAUACCCUGGGGUGAUGACGGUACCUGAAGAAUAAGCACCGGCUAACUACGUGCCAGCAGCCGCGGUAAUACGUAGGGUGCAAGCGUUAAUCGGAAUUACUGGGCGUAAAGCGUGCGCAGGCGGUUCUAUAAGACAGAUGUGAAAUCCCCGGGCUCAACCUGGGAACUGCAUUUGUGACUGUAGAGCUAGAGUACGGUAGAGGGGGAUGGAAUUCCGCGUGUAGCAGUGAAAUGCGUAGAUAUGCGGAGGAACACCGAUGGCGAAGGCAAUCCCCUGGACCUGUACUGACGCUCAUGCACGAAAGCGUGGGGAGCAAACAGGAUUAGAUACCCUGGUAGUCCACGCCCUAAACGAUGUCAACUGGUUGUUGGGAGGGUUUCUUCUCAGUAACGAAGCUAACGCGUGAAGUUGACCGCCUGGGGAGGUACGGCCGCGAGUAGAACGUAAGUAGAGUAGAGCGUGAGAGUGCGACGGACGACGACGAGGGAGAGG
rnacentral:rRNA from 1 species